AAAAGAUGGAUCCUUUGGGACCCUUCAUCCACAAACCUGCGGAAGUGAGAUGUGCUUCGGCGCCUCCGGGCGUCGAGUCUAUGCUGUUUAGCUUGUGUCUGAAGAAAAACAAAAAAUUAA
rnacentral:misc_RNA from 1 species